AUUAUUUUAUAUAGCUGAUGGAAAAUGUUGUUAAUUAACAUUUCAAGCGGCGAGAACUCAUAAAAACUUCCAUUCGAAUGGAUCGAUUUAUUAAAGUCAUUUUAGCUGACAGCCUCAAGAGCUGUUUUGUCUAUUAAUAAUGCACAUCGAAUGUUUGUUCAGUGAGUAACCCCAGUGGCUAAUUGAUAUGGGACAAAUGUAACUUGGAGGGGGCGACGAGACUUCGCUGUAAGACACGCGCAUUCCACUUUUUUUUCGAGACGUUCUGACAUGUAAAUUAAACAGCCACGCCCCCAACUGUUCAGAAGGCGUCUAAUAAAUUAUGCACACUUUGUUUGAGCUACUCA